rnacentral:rRNA from 1 species
AGCGGCGGACGGGUGAGUAACGCGCGGGUAACCUGCCUCAUACAGGGGAUAACAGUUGGAAACGGCUGCUAAUACCGCAUAAGCGCACAGUACCGCAUGGUACCGUGUAGAAAACUCCGGUGGUAUGAGAUGGACCCGCGUCUGAUUAGCUAGUUGGUGGGGUAACGGCCUACCAAGGCGACGAUCAGUAGCCGACCUGAGAGGGUGACCGGCCACAUUGGGACUGAGACACGGCCCAA